AUGGGCCUCGACGCCGCGGAAAUCUCUGAAUUGGCGGCGCUCCGGCCGAUCCAGACGGCCGUGAGCGGCCCCCGGGCCACGGCAGAGCCUCGGACGGACGAUGACGCUCCAGCCGCCGGCACCGGCUGCGUCACACCCAAGGCGAGCGGCGCGCGUUCAGCCGCUGCAGGAGGAGCGGACGACGACGACGACGCUGCCGCCGACACCGGCUGCGUCACGCCCAAGGCAAGCGGCUCCAUGGCCAUGCUGCCCAUCGCGCCGCUGCAGCAAGACGACCGCGCCGACGUCGGCUUCGCCACGCCGCUGGCCACGGGUGGAGUAAUUGGGCCGCGAGACGGCUGCGCUGCUGCCGGCGACGAGAACAGCUUCACCACGCCCACGACGGCCGACAGCGCGCUGUUGCCGGCCACCGGCCACGGUGUGCCCACCGGCGCCGCGGAAGUCGGCGCCGGUCCCGACGAGGAAGCGUGCUCCGCUCCAGCAGCGGCUCUUCUACCCGGUGCCGCACGACCUGGCCACCGUGUUCGUGGCCGUGCCGCAGUGCCCGCCGCCCGCCAAGAAGAUGCGGGCACACGCCCUGGAGUCAUCUGCGCCCCUAGGCAGUUGAGCGAGACACACACCUCUCUCUCGCUCCAGCAAUUCAGCACCCCGCGGAGCCGCAGCCUCCCUGGAUCUUCUUGGAUACCCAAACAAAGCCGCGUGCGCGAUGGAGCUCGGCUCGACCAGGGUCGAUGGAUGCAGUGCAGGGGGCAGAGCAGAUCUGGAGAGGGGAAAGCGUCCGUCCUCCAGAUCUGGGCCUCCAGGCACCCGGCUUCAAUGAUUUGCCCAUGGAUUCCCCAACUGCUCACACUGGAGUCUGGACCAGUACGCUCGCAGCACAUUCAGUUGCUGGAUCACUGUGCAAGCGUAUGGCAGCUGCCGGCCCUGUGGUACUUGGACUCCUCACAACUCCCAGGGACACAGAGCAGAGAUCGGCAGCUUCUCCGGCCAGAGACACCACGCAGGCACGAUCAUACAUCUCAGGGCUACCGGAUUUGGUACGUGACAAGAGCACGCAUCCUCUUGUCCGCUUGCCAGCCCAACAAAUAUUCGGGAGAAAAGAGAAAGCUUCCAUGGAUUUCUAACGGCCAGGGACGUACAGUGGGGAGUGCAUGGGCUGCGGAGUGCGCCGGUGCGUGCGUGGAUGUGUCUGUCUGCAGUCUGCGGUGCCGUGCAUGCAUGCAUGGGCGGGUGUCCGCCACUAGCUACGUGCCAAAGGGCCACCUACCUACUCGUGUCUUUGGUGACAAGCAAAGGAGGUGUGCCGCCUACCGUCGACGCCUGCCGGAUCCAUCGAAGAGUGCCAAGACCCUCCGGCUCGGUAUCGAGCAAUCGACGAAGGAGGCGGCGGCGACAGCAAGAGCGGUGAAGCUCGUGAGGCAACAGAACCACUCUAUGCUGACGAUGGCCGGCUUUAUCUCGUCGUCAUCCGACGACCCCCCACCUGCCGCCAACGCCUACCUGGAGGGCUACGGCCGCGCCGGCAACUGGAAGGGCAAAGAACCAGCGAGGAAGUGGUGA
rnacentral:rRNA from 1 species